rnacentral:lncRNA from 1 species
GAAAGUUGGAUCAUAAGUUGUGUAAGGAAAAAUGAUGUGAAAGUAUUUAAAACCACAUCUGGUGUAUUGCAGCCGGCCAUCGUCAUUUUUUUUUCCUUCUAUCUACUUGAGAGAAAAUUGAGAAAACAUUCAGAACUCGAUCGACAUGGAAGGGAAGCUUGCAGAAACUGUGUUUACUUUUUCUGUUGAGGGAAUACUGUCGAAAGUGGCGUCACUUGCUGCUCAAGAACUCAGUCUCGCUUGGGGUUUCAAAGCUGAACUCAAACGGCUUCGCCAGUCAUUACUCAACAUUCAGGAUUUCUUGGGAGCUGUUUCCAACCAACCAUAAGAUCGGGUCAAGGCGGUGGAGGAGUGGGUGAUGAAAUUUAAAGGUAUAGCUCAUGAUGCUGACGACGAUCUGAUGGAUGAGUUCGACUACGAAGUGGUUCGCCGUAAAGUUGAACUCCAAAAUCAUAUGAAGAGAAAGGUACUCAACUUCUUUUCACUCUCCAAUCCACUUGCAUUUUGUUUGAAAAUGGCACAUAAAAUUCAGAAGAUCAACCAGUCCUUGGUAGAUCUCAAGGGCGAGGCCGCUUUCAUUGGUCUAGUUUCCAAGAAAAUAGAUGCAACCCCUCAGGAAUCUAGAUGGGACAGACAAACCAACUCACUCAUUGGCAGAGAUGAAAUAACCGUUGGAAGGGAAAAGGUUGUGUCAGAAAUAGUCACAACCUUGACCGACUCCCGAAGCAACCAAGAAAAUCUUGCGGUUAUGGCCAUCGUGGGAAUGGGAGGCCUCGGUAAGACAACAUUGGCCAGGUCAGUUUACAAUGAGAAUUCGAUACACAAGUUCUUUGAAAAGAGAAUAUGGAUUUGUGUAUAGAACGCUUUUGAUGUCAAUUUAAUUCUACUCCAGAUGUUAGAAUCUCUUAACCCUCCAAAAGCUCCUUCAAAAAAUAACUAGAAUGCAAUUCUUACAAACCUGAAAGAAGAGUUGGAAGAUAAAAGAUACUUACUCGUACUUGAUAAUGUUUGGAAUGAAGAUCCUAAAAAAUGGGAGAAUUUGAUGGAAUGUUUGUCAAAGCUUUUUUUUGCUAAAGGAUCCAAAAUUGUUAUCACUACUCGCAGUGGCAAAGUUGCAUCAAUCUCUGAAAAACUACUUCCACGACAUGAUGUGGGAAAACUUUCUGUGAAUGAAUGUUGGUCCAUUAUGAAAGAUAGAGCUUUCCCCAAUAGUAGUGCUCAUAUAGCUCCUGAGUUUCAAACAAUUGGAAGGGAGAUUGCUAAAAAUUGUGGUGGUGUUCCAUUAGUGGCAAAUGUGCGUAUUAUUAUUAAGGAAAACUAAUGAAAAAGACUUGAAAACUUUGAAUUUUAAUGAUAAGGACAAAAUAAAGGGUAAAGUGAAUAGUAUCAUGAUUGACUUUUUAGUACAAAAAUAUGUUUUUUCGUUAAAGUAAACAGUACCGGGAGCUUUUCGUUAAAGUUCCCUUAUUAUUAUGUAUCAUAACAUGGAAUUUGCUCCCUUUUUAUUUUUAUUUGUUUACAUGUUUUCAUUUAUAAAUUAAGACAAUACUUGCAUCCGCACCAUGGGGUACACCACCUUAUCAAUUAAAUUAGUUAAGCGACUUAAAUUGGAUGAAUUAUUUUGUUAUGACUCAAAUUGGAUUUGUUAGGCUAUCUCCAAUCUAAUAGGUAAUAGUUAAAACUUUAAAGUCAAUUUUAAUGUUAAAUUUGACUCUAAAAUUGACUUGGCUUGAACUAUGUGUAGGAAUUAGCUAGGAUUGGUUAGGAUUGGACUUUAUUUUGUCUUAUAUUUGGUGUUAACUUUGGAUUGGAAAGAGGAUAGUUCCUAAAUUAUUACCUGAGUGAAAAUUAGUUUCUUAAAUUAUUUUUCCGGAAAAAUUAGUCCUUAAACUAAUAAAAAUAUGUCAAUUACAUCGCUAAUAUUAGAUUCGAAGUUAAUAUUCAACUUUUCGUUAAUUUAAGUCAUGUGACUUGCAUGUGAUACACUUUGGAGGUAGACUGGAAGGUGUUUAUAGUUUAAAGACCUUUUUUUUUCCGAAGAAUUGUGAAGAAAUAGUGUAUGAAAUAAACUUUGGAGGGUAAAUUAGAUGUUAGAUUUGUAACUUAUAUGCAAUAUUAAGGUCUUAUAGGCAAGAAAAUGACAACAUUACCCUCUAAAAUGCAUGAGGUGACUUAAGUUGACAAAAAAUUGGAUAAAAUAGCUUUCAAUAUAAUAUUAGAGAUGAAAUUAUCAGUUUUUAUGAAUUUAGGGACUUAUUUUACCAAAAAAAUAAUUCAAUGACCUAAUUUUCACUGAAGUGAUAAUUGUUUUUUUGAAAGGGGUUAAAUAACGAAGUUUAAGGUGGUGCAAGUCUGGCCACUUAGUACUAUGAUCUAGUGGUAUUCCUCUUCACUUUUAAGUUAAAUGUAUUAGGUUCGAUUUACGGCAAAGGCAAAUUUGAAUCACAUUAUUACUAGAUUAUUGUGAGACAAGCCCACCCCCUCCUCCUUAAUGUAGACAAUAUCUUUUCUUUAAAAACAAAAACAAAAGGUGGUGCAAGUCCGGAUUAAUCCGGUUCUUAUAUAGUCCCAUGUUUAGCAAAAGGCGGAUAUGUGUUAAAUAGGGUAAUCCGGAAAGUUAAUUCAGUGAAACAAACAUACCUGAAGUGUUAUGUCAUACUCGAUGCACAUUAAAUAAGAGUCAAAUAUAAUGUUUGACGUCAAACGUAUAGUCAUAUCUGACUAUUUGAGACAAAUUUAAAAUCAAAUAUGACUUUGCACUUAAUUCUAGAGUCAUAACUCAAAAUUUUUUUAUGCAUCAGAUAGAGUUGAGCCAAAUUUAAUAUUUAAGUUUUAUGUACAUUGAAAAUAGCCUUAGGUCAUGUAUUUUCUAUACUGUUUUAGAACACCUUGAAAAGUUUAUAUCUAACUAAGAAACUAUUUUUUGUUUCUGUCAUAUUUUUCUCCUUAUUUUUCAUCCGAUAUAAAAGAAAUGGUGGAGAACAUUAUGCAGUUCGCACAGAUCCAAAAAUCGUUGUAGUCAUAGUUAAACUACUUUACUCUAUUAAUCGAUGGAAACUCAAUAAUUCAAUCAACAGGUUUUGGGAGGCAUUUUGCACACUAAAAAAAGUAUUGAAGAAUGGUCGAUUUUUAAAGACAGUAGAAUAUGGGACAACCAAGGUCUUAAAUGCCGAUAAUAUCGGCGAUAUUUCGCCAAUAUUAUCGGUUUUUCAUGGUAACGAUAUUUUAAUAGGUAUCCAAUGGGUUUUCGUCAAAAUAUCGCGAUAUUUCCGAAACUAUCGCGAUAUUUUGGAACUGUGCUAAUCGGAGAAGAACAGGAGAAGAACGCCGGAGCUUCUACAGCUCCGCCCGACUGUAAAAGAGCACCCUAGACUCCGAUCUAGGUAUCAAAAUGAAAUAGAAGAUGAGAUGAAUGUUUUUAUAAAGUCUGUUUGCCGUGAAACAGUCGGAGGUGUUCGGAAAGUUCGUCGACACCCACGGCCUCGCCGGAGAUGGGUGUGCCUAUUCCCGAGCCGAUUUCGUCCCAAAAACCUUGCAAAAACACGAUUUUGAACUUAAAUUUCACAUAUAAGCUUCAAUCUAGAAUGGAAAGAGGCAAACCCGAAGCUUACAUAACCGGAGAAAUUCAAGAACCUCGCCGGAGUUCCUGCGUUCGCCGAGUUGCAGAGACGAGAAGGAGAGGGAGAAAGACGAGGUUGCUGAUGAUGAUGGGUGUCUUCCUGAAGCAGGUGCGAUGGUGUGCGUGUGUGUAUGUGGGUCUCGGACCCUCGGUGCAGAGAGAAAGAAGAGAGAAGGCGCCGACGAGGGAGGAGCAGAAGGCAAUGUGGGAGAAGGAUCGAGAGACCUUGGGUCUCCGUGCAUGUGUGUGGGAGAUCUCUGUGUGUGUGGGGGAGAAUGGAGAAGGGGAAGAAGGGAGAUCAGAGAAGAGAGAAGGAUCGAGAGAGAGAGACUGUGUGCGUGUGUUGUGUUGUGUUGUGUUGUGUGCGUGUGUGGUGGCAUGUCGGUGUGUGUGUGUGGUUGGGUCAUCUGACUCACACUCACCUGACAACUUUUACAAUCACUUUUUACAAUUUCAGACCAUGGACAAAAAUGAGUGCUUUCAUAAUGAAACCGUGUGCCACUGUGAGUCUGUGAUAUUCUUUCACAUUCAAAACCGUGUGCCACUGUGAGUCUGUGAUAUUCUUUCACAUUCUCAGAGGUGGAGUAUCAGAGCCAUUCAGAGCAUUUUCGUUUCUUCUUCUUCCCUUACCCUUUUCAAAGCCAUUCCAGAUUCAUUCCAGAGCUUGAACACAAAGGUUCCAUAUUUAAAGUAAGUUUACAAAUUUAUAUUUAUAUUAUUGUAAUUUAUACAACAACAAAAAAAAUUGUGUGGACUCGUAUGUUAAUUUUUUAAGUAAUUAAUACUUGCAUGUUAAUUUUUGUAAGUAAUUAAGUAAUGUUAACAAUUACAUGUUAAUUUUUUUAAGUAAUUAAGUAAUGUUGUAUAAUUAUUCCCUAGGAUAAUUUUAAUAUGUUUAAUGUUAUUUAUUAUUUUAUUAAUAUUAGGUUUGAUUAUCAAUUUGGAUUAUUAUUCAUUAAUAUUAGGUUUUUUUUAAUAUCAAAUUGGAUUAUUAUCAAAUUGGAUUAUUCAUUAAAUUGGAUUAUUAUUAAAUUGGAUUAUUAUCAAAUUGGAUUAUUAUUCAUCACUAUGUUUUAUAUUAGGAUUAUUUUUUUAUCAAAUUGGAUUAUUAUUCAUUAAUAUUAGGUUUUAUUAUUCCAUAUUAUUUUUAUAAUUACUUAAAUUUUUACAAUCAUUUUCUUUACUUCGUAUUUAAUUCUUCUGUAGAAUAACUUUAUUAUUUAGGUUCUCUUAUAUAACCGUCAUCACUACUAUAUUUUUUGGCCAAAAAAUAAUUGUCUAAUUUUCAUGAAAAAUAAAUAUAGGUACGUUUAAGAUGUCCAGUGGAGUUACUAAACGUGAUCAGCUUGGGAACAUGGAGACCCAAUAGACGGAAACAAACAUGGCACAAUUUGCAAAUAUUGUGGUCGGGUAAUGAAGAGUGGCGGAGUGACACGACUUAAGUACCAUCUUAGUGGAUUAGAUCCAGCAAAAAAUGUCCAACGAUGCGAUAAUGUCCCCCCAGAAGUGAAGGCAUUCAUCAGCACAUUAUUAAAAAAUAAAAAACAACAGAAGGAAAAGAUAACACAUGGAAUGGAAAAUAUUCGAGCUGGGCUACGAGGAGAAGUCUAUGGCCAAGCGGUUGACAGUGAUGAUGAUGACGAUGAGGACGAAUGUGAUGAUGACAUGGGACCUGAAGAACGACGCAGUUUGAAACAAGCAUUACGUGCCUCCAAAUAGUCAGCAUGGGAAAUAGAACACCUUCAUAAAAUUCCUAAUAGAGCACAAGGUUUCGGGACAAGUGGUGGUGCACAAAUGAGACGGGGAGGCAGUCUUAGAGAAUCACAACCAACACCACCAAUAACCACAAGUUUAUAUAAGUCAUCCAAAGCACGUCAAAAGAGUGUUUGAAGUUAUUUCACUGGAGGUAAUGUGAAGGAGGGAAUGGGGCGUCUAAUUAGCAAGUUCUUUAUCUAUGAAAAUGUCCCUGCUGAGAAAUCAUCAUCACAUCAUUUCAAAAAUAUGGUAGUGGGAUGUCAACAGGCCGGUGUUGGAGUACAACAUCCCACUCCCUAUGAGAUAAGAAACAAAUAUUUGGAUAUGGAGUAUAAAGACAUUGGCGAGUAUGUUAACAAGUUGAGGUCAAAGUGGGAAACUAAUGGUUGCACAAUCAUGUGUGACGGAUGGAUUGGCCCGACCAGAUUGUCUAUCAUAAACUUCAUGGUAUACUCCAAGGGAAAGACAAUUUUUUUGAAGUCUGUUGAUGCUUCAGACCAUAUAAAGAACUACAAGUAUAUUUACAAAUUAUUGAGGGAUGUAAUCAUGGAGGUGGGAGAGCAUAAUGUUGUCCAAGUCGUGAUCGACAACGGUUCUGCAUUUGUCAAAGCUGGAAAAAAGUUAAUGAAGCAUCAUAAUGUGUUUUGGACAUCAUGUGCAGCACAUUGUAUUGAUCUCAUGUUUGAGGCAAUGGGGAAGAGAGAGAAUGUUGCUACUGUGGUAAAAAGAGCUAGAACGAUCACAAAUUAUAUUUACAAUCAAGGUUGGUUGUUGGCAAAGAUGCAUGAAUUUUGCAAAGGAAACAUUAUUCGUCCAGCUACCACUCGAUUCACCACCAACUAUAUUGCAUUAGACAGCCUACUUAAGAAGAAAGCAAGGUUGAAGCAACUAUUCACUAGUGACGAUUGGGCCAACCACAAUUUGAGCCGCUUAAAUGCAGGUCGUAUGGUGGAAAGUAUAGUGCUUGAUCAUGCUUUUUGGACACAAUCAGAACAUGUGUGCCAAGUGUUUGAACCUCUUUACAAAGUUUUACGAAUCGUUGACACAGAAGUGUAUCCUACUAUGGGGGCAAUAUAUGAGUUGAUGCGUGUAGUGAAGGAUGAAUUGGAAAGAAAACAUGGUGCAAGGUGGGUCAUAAAGAUAAUUGAAGACCGAUGGUAUAAAACAUUAUACCACGAUUUGCAUGCAGCAGGUAUAAAUUAUGUCAUAAUUUGCAAUUCAUUUCUUUAGUUGCAUAAAUAUUAUUUCUCUUAUUAGAGUAUGUGUUUCUUUGAAUAGCAUAUUAUUUGAAUCCUCGAUACCAAUACAGACCCGGUGUUGGAGAUGAUGGUACCCUUAUACGUGAUGUACAUAAUGUAUACUCUAAAUUAGACCCUGCAUCACCAGCAGUUGGCCAAUUUGGAAAUGAGGUACACAAUUACUUAAAUUAUAAUAAUUACUUUGUUGGAUUAAACUAACACGAUUUAUUGAAUUCAGCUAACAUGGUUUAAAGAUGCAAGAAGAACUUUUGGAGAACUAACAUCAGUUGCUGCUCGAACAAAAAUGUCUCCUAGUGAGUGUAAACAUAUUUCUCGAUAAGUUUAUAAUAGAAUUUGUUGGAGUUAUUAGGCUUACCGACAUUGUUUUUCAUUGUAGCUGAAUGGUGGAUCAUGUAUGAGACAGAUGCACCAACUGUGAGAAAGUUAGCAAUCAAAGUAUUAUCACAAACAACUUCUUCAUCUGCUUGUGAAAGAAAUUGGAGCACAUUUGCACUCAUACACACAAAGCAAAGAAAUAGGUUGGCUCAUAGUCGGUUGGAAAAAUUAGUUUAUUACUACUAAAACAUGAAGCUUCAAAUUCGGGAUAAGGAAGCAGAAAUAGAUCAUGUCGACUGUGGUGACCUACUAGAUGUGUUUGAUAUUGUUGCUGAAGAUGAUGAUACAGAGGGUAACCAACUUUAUCAAUGGAUUAGACCUCUUCAUUUAGAUGAUGAUGAAGGCAACCCAGCUCCCAUAGUUGCUGAAGAAGCACGUAAUGAAGGGAUAAAUGUAGAAAGAGUAUUAGCGGAGGAGGUGGGAUCUAGCAGCGCUGACUCUUUGGAAGAACAUUUGCGCCCAAGACCAAGAAACACUGGAAUUCCACCUUCUUCCAAUCCUACACAACCACAGCAUCGUGCUGAUACUAAUGAUAGCUCUAGUACAAGAUUAGGAGGAUACUCACCUACCACCGGAGGUAGGAAUGAUGAAGGAUAUAGUGGAGCUGGAGGUAGUGGUGGUGGAUAUGGAAACUAUGUUGGACCACCUCUCGGAUUUAUGAGCCCCUUCACUGGUGAGGCAAACUUCACGCAUGCAACACAAGAUGAGGACCAUGGCAGUAGGCGGGCAGAACCAGGAAUUGGUGUCAUAGGGAAGGACUAUACUCGUAGAGAAAGAGGCAAGAGGAUUUUGUCAAGUCAAGAAGAUGAUUCGUUAUCUAUAACUUCAGACUCUGUUGGAGUGGGAAGUAGUAACUAUGGUUAUACUCAUAACCAACCAUUUCCCUACCCUUCAUAUCCCAUUCCUGUUGGGAUGGAAUCGAGCGACUCAUGGAAACAAUUCGAGACUCAAUCUUCAAAUGAUUUUGCUUAUGGACAAGGUCAACCAAUCUCGGAUCCAUAUGGGUGGCAUGUUAACAAUUAUAUGCAAAACUAUUUUGGGGAUUUAUCAUUUGAUAACUACUCUUCACAAUACACUCACUCUACACAUAGAGAUGAUGAAGAUAGUGAAAAAUUUGAACCUUAUAGGAACUCUAUGUGGUACUAAGUCACUCUUGUAUCUUACCAUGCAAUGUAUAAAGUGUAAAAUAUUGUACUAAUUCAUUAUAUAUAAAUGAUUAUGGUGUGUAAACUUCUUUCAUUAAUUACUACAUAUUUUCUACACUCAUAAUGUUUGCCAGCUCGUUAUAUAAUCAACUUGAUAAUGUUAAAUCCAUCAUGCAAUGCAUUUCCUUCCAAUUUUUUGUGAUAAACUAAUAGAUAAUUGACUAAAUAAACAUCCUGCAAAGUUUCAAUAAAAAUUUCCAAGUUUUUCUUACAAUUUCCGUGGUUUCCAUAUUAUUUUUAUCGAUAUCGAUAUUAUCCCGAUAUUUCCAUCGAUAUUUCCAUGUUUUCGGACUACCGAUAUUUCCGAUAUCAUCGAUAUUUAAUACCUUGGGGAUAACAUAUCAAAAGGAGGAGAUAGAAUUAUGCCAGUCUUGAAGUUGAGUUUUGACAAUUUAGAUUCACCAUAAUUGAAGCAAUGUUUUGCAUAUUGCUCAUUGUUCAAGAAAGAUUUUGAAAUUCAAAGAGAUAACUUGAUUCAACUUUGGAUGGCUCAAGGACUACUCCACCCUUCACUUGGCAAAAGUAAAGAUAUGGAGGACAUAGGCAAUGAAUAUUUUGAUAUUUUAUUCCAAAGCUCCUUAUUUCAAGAUGCUACAGUGAGUGACAAUGUCAUUGUAUCCAAAUCCUAAAGCUUGACGAGUGACUUAUGUGGCAUAGAUAAUACACUUGAUAUUCGACUUGUUGCUCGGGUUUCUACUUCCUUGUUGAAUAAAAUUCCAAAAAUAAGUGCUAGGAAGUUGCGGUCGCUGUUUUUCGACGGUGGUGAGGUUCCUAGUAACAUUCUUCCACGAUUCGCAGCUUUGCGCAUCUUAAACUUAAGUAAUGCUAAUAUUGAAGAAUUUCUAAUUUCAGUUGGAAGGAUGAAACACUUGAGGUAUCUUGACAUUUCCAAAACAAGAUUCAUAGCACUCCCCAACACUAUAGGUAAGCUCUAUAACCUACAGACGUUAAAAGCAACAAAUUGUGCGCUUAAAGAGUUUCCAAAAGAAUUGCAAAACUUGAUCAACCUGAGACAUAUUUAUUUUGAUGAGAGUACGAAAUUUCCGCAGGGGAUAAGGCGGUUGACUUGCCUUCGAACAUUACUUUGCUUUUCAGUGGGUAAUGAGAUUGGUCGUCGAAUUGAAGAGUUGGUUGACUUGAAACAAUUGAAAGGUGAAUUAAUUAUUUGUAAUCUGGAGCACGUAAAGAAUGGAGAAGCAAAGAAAGCUAAGUUGGAGGAUAAGACGAAAAUAUGGCAUUUAAGAUUCAAAUGGACAGAAGAUAGGUCAAUAACCAACAACAAUGAGGAUGAGGAUGCAUUGGAAGGCCUUCGACCGCAUUCUAAGUUAGAGAGCUUAUAUAUUGAAAAUUUCAUGGGCGGUAAGUUUCCAUCGUGGAUGAUGAGUAGGUCAUUACUGCUCAACAACUUGAAGAAGAUUCAGUUACUUGGAUGCAACAAAUGUGAAGGAGUCCCACUGCUCGGUCAUCUAGCCAAUCUUACAGAGCUUAAGAUUGACAGUAUGGCUAACUUGAAAUGUGUUGGAGCUGAGUUCUAUGGUUAUGAUUUUGUCCGCAAUGUAGCCACGACAAGUAAGGAUAUAAUUUCUUUAUUUCCUGCACUAAAAGUAUUAAAUAUUUCUAGGUGUGGUGAUCUAAUUGAAUGGAUGGAAGCACCAACAGUGUCAACACAAAGAGUAGUGGCUUUUCCUUGCCUCGAGAAGUUGGAUAUCCAAUAUUGUUCCAAGUUGAGAAAUGCUCCAAGUCAUUUUCCAUUUCUUCAAAAGUUGGUGAUCAUUUCUAGUGAGAGCGGAAAACUAAUAGAAGAAGUAAGCAAUGGAGUAACAACUAUCACUUCCCUCGAAAUUAAAAAUAUUAAGGAGCUUACGUGUUUGCCGCAAGGGAUGUUGAAGAACAACAAUAAUCUCUCAUAUGUAUUUGGUUGUUGCUGUUCUCUUGAGAGAUUGGUUAUUCGUAAUUGUGAAAAGCUGAGGCAUUUGGCGGAUGGGCUAGAUACACUCCCUCUUCUUGAGGAAAUGACCAUUAAGAAAUGUCCUAGUCUAGAGUUGAUUCCAAUUACACAGGGCAUGGCAUCUCUUCGGGAAUUAAGUAUUGGUUAUUGUGAACGAUUGUCAAGCCUACCGAGUGGGUUAGAGUAUUGCACCUUUCCUCCAAAAAGUGAAAAUUUGGGAAUGUAAUGGACUAUCAGGCCCACUGAGUGUAUGGGCCUCUCUUGUGGAAUUGAUAGUAUGGAGAUGACAUCAAUUGAAAUUAAAUGCGGCGUUACCACCUCGCUUCAGAAGUUGAGAAUCUAUGGUUGCACAGAAUUAUCAAGCUUACCUGCUCUUCCACAACAAUGUUCCUCUCUUGAGGCAUCGGAGAUAGGUAGUUGCCCAAAGAUAGCAUGGUUUGGUGUCCAAAGUAGCAGCAUUAGUCUACAAUCUUUUUCAGAUUUGCGCACCAUGACUUCCCUUCGACAUCUGUGGAUUGAAGAUUGUGAAAGAUUAGAAAGUUGGGUGAGCGGUCUGCAAUUUCCACUCUCUCUUGAGGGGCUGGCAAUAAAGGGUUUCCCUAAUUUAUAGAUUCUUCCAAAUUUAGACAACCUCACUUCUCUCCGUUGUUUGGAGAUUGUAAAGUGGCCAAAGUUAAAAUAUCUACCGACGAGACUACACUGCCUCCCGCGCUUGAAGGAUUUGAGCAUCGGUGUGGAGACUUUGACGGAGUGGAGACUUUGACCAGCCUGCAAUUCCCACUCUCUCUUCAGACGCUGAGAUUACAAUGUUUCCCUAAUUUACAGAUUCUUCCAAGCUUAGACAACCUCAAUUCUCUCAGUCUUUUGAUUAUCGGUGGGUUCUGGGGGGAGCUCGAUUCCUUCCCUGAUUUUCAAGUUGGAUCAUUAAUGCACCUGACCAUUUUACAUUUGAUCGGUUGGCCGAAGCUCAAGUAUCUGCCUAAACAAAUUCAACACCUCACUUCCCUAACAUCAUUGUGGGUAAUUUUUUUUUUGGACAAACUGCAAUACUUUUCCAUUAAACAAAGAGACUAAUACAAGGAAAAGAUAGCCCAAAAACAUCUCACAACUGAAAUACAAGCCCAGCGGGAAAGAGCAAAUACAGCACAAAGCCCAAAAGGCAUAGCAAAAAAGUAACAGAAACCCUAAAAAUAAAGAGGAAACCAGCAUCCACCACCAAAUCUUACGCGCCUCCAUCGGAAAGCCACCACCACCAAAAAUCGAACCAAAAGCAGCAACCGGAUCAACGGAAAAUGGGGGUGAGUGAGCCACCCGCGCUGUGAGCAGCGCUCCCAUAAUCCUACUAAAUAGUGCACAAAGCACUUUAACAGUCACCAAAAACCCAAGCACGUCACCGAGGAGAAGCACCCGGGGUUGAGUAGCAGUGGUUGGUAGUUGUGGACUCACGAUGGAAGGAAACAUCGGAGCAGGAGAGGUGUCUACAGAAUGGUUGGGUAAUUGAAUUUGAAGGAGUGGAGACUUUGCCAGAAUGGUUGGGUAGCCUUACAUCCCUUACAUAUCUGAUAAUUAAAGAUUGCAAGAAUCUGAUGAAUUUGCCUAGUGUCCAAGCUAUGCAAUGCCUCACCAAAUUACGCACACUGCGGAUUUAUAAUUGUCAUCCCUUUCUAAAGCAAAGAUGCACCAAGAACAGUGGCACAGAUUGGCCUAAAAUUUCUCACAUUCCAGAUAUCACAAGUAAGUUUUUAACUUGUUGAAAUGAUAUUACAGAGUUCAUGUUAAUUAUAUGUUUAUCUCUUUUGUUCGUUUAUUCAUCUCAACUACUACAUAAUAGUUUAAACUAGUAUACCAAAUUUUUUUAAUCCUUUUCCCUCUUCUUUUAAAUCAGUUGACUGAGUCUCACAUCAGUUGGAUGGAAGGUAGGCAGCACCUUACCAAACUACAACAAAUUUGUAUUCGAAAAACCAAAUUUCAUGGUGUGCAAGGCCACACUUCUCCGAGAUUUCUUGUAUUCCAGUUGUAUGUACAAACGACUCCAAAUGGCUCCAACUUCCACAUUGAAAUGAAUUCGUGUAAGUUUUCAAAUCCGCACCUCCUCUUCUCUUCUAAAUGCAUUCUGCUCUUGACUUUUCACUUACUAUAUAUGUUGUGUUUUCCAGCGGCAUCUAUAUUUCUUUUGGCAUGCUGUAGCGUUUUUCAGGAUGCUCAAUAGCUGCAAAUUGAGUACAGGUACUGAUGCACAAGAUAUAAAGUUUCUCGCUCAACCUUCAUUUCUCAAUGAUAAACCUCAAGUUAUACUACUUAUCAAGGUAGCAAGCCUCUUAAUUACCCCUUCAUGGUAUUGAACUUUUUUAAUCAAAUAUUUCUAGAACCCAGGUAAAAUCAUGUUCUUAUAGUAUAUAGAACUGCUGAAAUUGCUUUCUGUUCGUUAUUAUCCUUAUAUACGAAGAUAUUGGACAGAUAUAUUUAUGGUUACUUGUGAAAUCUGAACUGAUUUUUUGAUCGUAUGAACUGUAAUUACAUUGUAAAAUACCCGCAUUAUCGCGAGAUUAGAUAAAAGAAUCUUCAGUUGCAAUGCUAGAUGAUAUUUUCAAGCUCUCUGUACUAUCAGUUGAAAAGUUAAAAUUUGUUCUGUACUAUAUAUUUCCUAAGUUGUUUUGUUGUUAAAUUUGACCAGGCAGAAUUGGGAGUCUGGUAGAAACUCUUGACCGAACAUUCCUAAUUUAGACAAACUGGGAAGCGCUCAUCCCUUUAAUUACACUGGAUCAACAUUCUUUGUUCGAUACUUAUCAGUUUGAAGGCUCGGCUCUCCAUCCUAUUCCCAAUAAGUGGUGAGUUGUGGGCUACAAAUUAAUGCAAGUCUCUACUUGAGGGAGUAGAGGCUUUGCCAGAUCAGUUGGGUAACCUUACAUCCUUGUAGAGUUGGAAUAGUUUCAAGCAUUUUAGUACCAGAAAGUUGGAACUUGUUCUUUAUAUUUUUCUUAAGUUCUUUUGUGUUUUCUUUGUACAGGCAGAACUGGGAUGCCAUUCAAAACUUGUGCGUGGAUCAGUAUCAUUCUUCAACUUUUCCCAUCAUGCUUCCUUAUCAUCAAAUCCUAAUUUGGAUACAAAUUGGUAAUCUUUUAUCUUUUCGAUUCCAACUGGUCAAUAUUCUCUGUUGAUACUCAUCCAAAUCCAAAUGUAUCCUUAUGAGUUUGCAGAGAUUUUAAUUCGGUUGAUUUUUUAUGUUGUGUGGAUCCUUAGAAGCUUGGGCUUCGUAGUGUCCCUUGUGCCCUGCAUUGCUGUGAAAGGCGAGUGCAAGAAGCAGCCAACUGUUGAAUAGAGGGAGAGCUUGAAAUUGAAAGUGGAAAAACUAUUGUACUACCCUAAUUGUAACUCUCUUUCUCUCUUCAGUUGCUCUCUUAAAGACUCUUAUGCUCAUUUUGAAAUGUAACCUACAAAUUAUAGUAAAAACCAGAGAAACUACUAAACAUGGACGCAGCUUAGGUUACACAUGCAAAACAAAGUUUGCUCUGAUGCUUGUAAAAUAGUAUAUUCUUUUACAUGUAAUGCCAUGACGAUAACGAUGUCGAUGCAGGCCAAUAGUGGGUACUUUGGGUCACUCUUCCUGAUGGUGUUUGCUCAUCAUUGUCUCAACACCUUAGCAUUUUGCAGAGCUUUCUUCGUGCUGUGAAGGUAACACUGUCUCCUUUGAACCACUUUCUUAUAAAGGAUUAACAAUUUUAUCUUUGAGAACUAAUCGUGUUUAUAAUAAAUUGGGCAUUGCAGAUAUGAAGGAAGUAGUCUAUGUUAUUUUAAGCUGAAAAUUCAAGCUGCAAACAAGUUACUCCUACAAACAUAUGUGCAUUCUCUGCCCCAAUUUUCUUGGAUAAAAUAUGACAUCUUUCCUUUUUCUGCAGUUGUGUUGUAGUGGAGAACAUCGACAUAAGCCUCGCCGCAGCCAAAGUUGCUGGAAUGAAGUGUAUCGCAACCAAAAGCGGGUAACUUUUUUACAUAUGAACAAAUGAAGAGUGCUUCCAUAUUUCCCACCUUCUUGACAUCUCAGAUUAUACUUAAAUUUGUUAGAAAGUUUGUCGGCAUUAGUUGAGAUGAGUGUAAUCUUUGCUAGUCAUGUAUGUCAAAUUUGGGUAAUCAAAUGGUAAACAUGUUCACUUAAUCGCUUAAAAACUCCGGUUUCAGGUACACAGUAGAAGACGACUUUCAACAAGCAAAAGCAGUCUUUGACUUCAUUGGAGAUCCCCGGAGGAGCGAUUUGACUGGGGAUUCUGCAGAAGACGGUCCUCCAUCUACAAUACCUUGGAUGGUGAUUAGGGUUUCAGCUAAGAUAAGCGACAAAUACCAAUAUGCAUUCGUUAGUAAUCCUGAUGUUGAUAUUCCUGUUGAAGUACAAAUUAGCUCUUCAAGGGCUUUCAUUGGCGAAUCUCUGGGUGGUGAACUAUUACAAGGGGCUUUCUAUUGCCAAGGCAAACUAAUUGGGAAUCAUAACCUAAGAAUUUCUUCCGCGGUGAAUCAUGUACCUUCUUGUAGGAGUUGUUUUAUUUGAUUUCCCAUAUUCUAGAUUUGAGCAAACAGGACCACCUAUAGAACAGAGAAAUCAUAUAGGCAAUGACCCUUAAUGCAGAGUGACCAAGCAGAGUUACUCCUAUGAUGCAUAUGGUCCGGUAAUGUAGAUUAACCAAGCAGAACCAUAGGUAGGAAUCCAAUAGUGUAGUCCUCUAAUGUGUAUUAACCAAUGAGGACCACUUAUAAAAUAGAGAAAUCAAAUAGGCAGUAUCUCACUAAUGCAAAUUAAUCAAACAAAACCACCCGUGGUAAAAAUUUCCCACCUUGUCAUAUUCUUGCAUGGUGGAGAUUCGUUUUACUUGUUAGAGAUUAAGUCUUCUCAGCAGUGGCCACUUGCACUAACCUUGCCGGCUAUGGUCUACGGCAUCGUUAGCCGGCCGGAUUUAAUUAUAUGUUUGACAGCAUCAUUAGCCGGAUUAAAUUAUAUUUGGCAGGCAGAUUUGGAUUCUUGUAGGCUUGUAGCCACUCCUCUUCACAAUUGUGGGAAUUUAAAUAUAUAUUUGACGGCCGGCCAGAUUUGGAUUCUUGUAGAACCGAUCAUGCAAAAUACAAACAAGCGGUUGGUGCAAGCCAUCACGUCCUCACAAAUGACCCACUCAUUAAUUAUACGAAUCUACCCCUCUGUUAUUGGAUGCACCACCUUUUUCACGUUAUAAAAUGUUAAACCAAUCCUAUCAUAUCAUCCUCCAUUGCGCUUGUAUUGAUAUUCGAGUAAUCUUGUAGUCCUAAUAUGAAAGAGUCUUUAUCUCUAAUUAACUAAUCACAUAAUCCUUAUUUAGUAAAAUUUAUUAUGGUGGAACAUAAAAUAUAUAAUUGUGAUUACGAAUCUCUCUCAUUUUAUAAUAUGAUUGAUUGAAAGAUAUCAUAAUAACUAUAUAUAGAUUAUCCCUGUCCUCACAAUAAUCGUUCUAUUAUGUACUAAUAUAGUUUUAUAUUUUUAAUUUAUGUAUUACUAUCGGUUCGGUCGUGUAGAACAACCUCAUUGCCGGCCUUUGAUUAUUUUUCAGUUUCUUGUUUGUUUUUAAAUGUGUAGUUUUCUUGUAAUUUAUCAUUACAUUAUAAGACAUUUGAACAGACAUUUGAUACGUUCAGUAUUCAACAUUAUAAUGGGCAAUGCUAAUACAUUUUAUAUUUUAUAAUGUAUAUGUUACUAUCGGUUCAUGUAUAACAACCUUAUUGCCGGCCUUUGUUUAUUAUUUUAGUUUUCUCAUUUGUUUUUUAUAAGAUGUGUAGCUUGCUUGUAUUUUAUCAUCUAUGACAUUUGAACACACAGUUGAUGUGUUUAAUAUUUACAUUUUAAUGGUUUUCAUUGUUUUCCUUGACUAUAUAUUAGUCUAUUUAUCUUUUUAUUUCUAGUGUAUUUGCUAAGCCGGUCUUCUUGAGUGUAGUUGGGUAAGGCAACCGCCUAGGGUCCCGACUUUUGGGUGCUCCUAAUUUAUAUAUAUAUAUAUAUAUUAGUAUAUAAAUACUGUAAAAGUAAGAUGAAUAACAAAGAAAAUUUGGUGGCGUAGUGGAAAAGAAGACAUUUAUUUGGUUACCGUCUCCUGUUCUAAACAUGAUGGAGGAUUUUUUUUUUAUAAUUAAAAGGGCCACGCUAGUAAAGACUUCACAAACAAGCAUAUUCAAAUAGCCCCCGUAAAGUAAGAUAUCUUUGGUUCAAUUCUCGCCAAAUGUGAACCUGAACCACAUUAUUAUGGCAAGUUCAUUGUGAGGCCGAACACACUCUUUGAAAGCCUAAUCUAAUAACAAUUUAGAUUAUGUAAACAUAAUUAGUAGAUUUGAGAUACUUUUCAACACAGAAAGAGAUAGAAGACUCGGAUUUGAGAUACUUUUCAACACAUAAAGAGAAAAUACCACUAAACUACAAACUCUAAUUGGUAAAUUUAGUGCAGUGUUUAAGUUCUUAAUUAACAUCUAUGUCUCAUAGUGUUAUUUUACAUUAGCAAGGAAUAACAUAUACGAUUAAGUACAUUUUCAUCAGCCACUUAGUACUACGGUCUAGUAGUAUUCCUCUUCACUUAUAACUGAGAGGUCUUAGGUUCGAUUCUCGCCAAAGGCGAAUUUGAACCACAUUAUUGUUAGCUCAUCGUGAGGCUAAGCCUACCCCCAUCACCCUUAGUGUAAAUAAUACUGUUUUUUCAAAAAAAAAAACACACACACACAUUUUCACCACAUUAGAUGACCUAAUUAUAUAGUAAAUGAUUUUGCUAUAAUAACAACCUUCCCACAUGUCAAAGACAUAUAUGUUUUCCUUGAACAGACAUUUGAUACGUUCAGUAUUCAACAUUAUAAUGGGCAAUGCUAAUACAUUUUAUAUUUUAUAAUGUAUAUGUUACUAUCGGUUCGUGUAUAACAACCUUAUUGCCGGCCUUUGUUUAUUAUUUUAGUUUUCUCAUUUGUUUUUUAUAAGAUGUGUAGCUUGCUUGUAUUUUAUCAUCUAUGACAUUUGAACACACAGUUGAUGUGUUUAAUAUUUAACAUUUUAAUGGUUUUCAUUGUUUUCCUUGACUAUAUAUUAGUCUAUUUAUCUUUUUAUUUCUAGUGUAUUUACUAAGCCGGUCUUCUUGAGGGUAGUUGGGUAAGGCAACCGCCUAGGGUCCCGACUUUUGGGUGCUCCUAAUUUAUAUAUAUAUAUAUAUAUAUAUAUAUAUAUAUAUAUAUAUAUAUAUAUAUAUAUAUAUAUAUAUAUAUAUAUAUAAAUACUGUAAAAGUAAGAUGAAUAACAAAGAAAAUUUGGUGGCGUAGUGGACAAGAAGACAUUUAUUUGGUUACCGUCUCCUGUUCUAAACAUGAUGGAGGAUUUUUUUUUUAUAAUUAAAAGGGCCACGCUAGUAAAGACUUCACAAACAAGCAUAUUCAAAUAGCCCCCGUAAAGUAAGAUAUCUUUGGUUCAAUUCUCGCCAAACGUUAACCUGAACCACAUUAUUAUGGCAAGUUCAUUGUGAGGCCGAACACACUCUUUGAAAGCCUAAUCUAAUAACAAUUUAGAUUAUGUAAACAUAAUUAGUAGAUUUGAGAUACUUUUCAACACAGAAAGAGAUAGAAGACUCGGAUUUGAGAUACUUUUCAACACAGAAAAAGAAAAUACCACUAAACUACAAACUCUAAUUGGUAAAUUUAGUGCAGUGUUUAAGUUCUUAAUUAACAACUAUGUCUAAUAGUGUUAUUUUACAUUAGCAAGGAAUAACAUAUACGAUUAAGUACAUUUUCAUCAGACACUUAGUACUACGGUCUAUUGGUAUUCUUCUUCACUUAUAACUGAGAGGUCUUAGGUUCGAUUCUCGCCAAAGGCGAAUUUGAACCACAUUAUUGUUAGCUCAUCGUGAGGCUAAGCCUACCCCCAUCACCCUUAGUGUAAAUAAUACCGUUUUUUCAAAAAAAAAAAAAAAACACACACACACACACAUUUUCACCAUAUUAGAUGACCUAAUUAUAUAGUAAAUGAUUUUGCUAUAAUAACAACCUUCCCACAUGUCAAAGACAUAUAUAUUUCAUAAUGUAUAUGUUACUAUCGGUUCGUGUAUAACAACCUUAUUGCCGGCCUUUGUUUAUUAUUUUAGUUUUCUCAUUUGUUUUUUAUAAGAUGUGUAGCUUGCUUGUAUUUUAUCAUCUAUGGCAUUUGAACACACAUUUGAUGUGUUUAAUAUUUAACAUUUUAAUGGUUUUCAUUGUUUUCCUUGACUAUAUAUUAGUCUAUUUAUCUUUUUAUUUCUAGUGUAUUUGCUAAGCCGGUCUUCUUGAGGGUAGUUGGGUAAGGCAACCGCCUAGGGUCCCGACUUUUGGGUGCUCCUAAUUUAUAUAUAUAUAUAUAUAUAUAAAUAUUGUAAAAGUAAGAUGAAUAACAAAGAAAAUUUGGUGGCGUAGUGGAAAAGAAGACAUUUAUUUGGUUACCAUCUCCUGUUCUAAACAUGAUGGAGGAUUUUUUUUAUAAUUAAAAGGCCACACUAGUAAAGACUUCACAGACAAGCAUAUUCAAAUAGCCCCCGUGAAGUAAGAUAUUUUUGGUUCAAUUCUCGCCAAAUGUGAACCUGAACCACAUUAUUAUGGCAAGUUCAUUGUGAGACCGAACUCACUUUCUGAAAGCCUAAUCUAAUAACAAUUUAGAUUAUGUAAACAUAAUUAGUAGAUUUGUGCCUAAAAAUGUGAGACGUGUAUUAUCUAAUAAUGUUUGUAUAUCUUUCUUCUUUUAAUAUUAAUUUUUAAUGUUAUUUUAUGUUUAUGACAUUCCAAAAUUUUUUCCUAUUGCAACAGAUAGAUUGCCCUGGUGAAUAAGUCUUUCAUCUUCAAUUCACUGCAUUCAUAAUUCAAAAAAAAUUCCCCUCACCUUGCUCUAGUUUAAAAUAUUAAUAUCGUUUGUAAUUAAAGAAAAUCUUAUAUAUUAAUAUGAGGAAAAGUUGAAAUUUUAUCAUUCUAGGUCUUAACAAGAAUCAGCGCCCGUACUUCAACAGAGUCAUGUGCUCCGAACUUCCAUCUUUUCUUCUUCUGUUUCUCAAAAACUAUCACUCUCCUGUGUAUCUAGAAAUGUUCAUGAUUUUAUGAACUCAAUUUCCAAGCUGUUUUGUUUUCAUAAAAUUUCUAGUUUUCCAAGUUUAUAAAUUUUCAGAGUAAAAAAUCCUAACAAGUGGUUGGAUUGGAUGUAAACCAAUUCUGAUUUCCCUAUUCAAAACUUAACUCGGCAAGAGAUAUAGGGAGUCAGAGACAUUAUUUUCGAUUUCUCCUCCCGUAAAAUCGCUUUUAUUAAAAAAAAAACACAUUAACUUUCAUUUUUUAAGGGAAAAUAAAAAAUAAUUAUUUAAGUUAAAAAAAAUUAAAAAAUAAAAAAAAAAUAAAAAACCAGCUCAUGUGAUAUGUGUGAGAGGCUAAUAGUAGUGCUUUUAACUUUCUGUUGAGCCUUUCGGCAAAGCGAAAAAGUAAAGGACAGAAAAUUAGAGUAUGUUUGGUAUUUUAUUUGAGUCUAACUUUUUUAAUUAAAAAAUAAUUGUCAAGUUUUGGGUUUUAAAAACUUGUUUGUUAUAACUCUUUUUAAAAACUGAACUCAAGACUAACUAAAAAUAUAUAUAUUUUUCUCUAAAAACAUAAAAAAUGAAUUUAUAGAGUUUUUAAACUUAAAUUCACUCUUUUUUUUUCUCUCCCUCCUCCCAUCUCACUCCAAAUCUAUCUCUCUUUUUUCUUCUUUCUCUCUCCUUUUUUUUUUACCUUUUUCGUCACUCCUUCAAUCCGCUCUCUUCAUUAUCUCGAUUUUUUCUCUCACUCCUCUUCCUCUUUAUCUAUUCCUAUCCUCUCUCUUCUUUCUCUUUCCUUCAAUCAUCUCUUACUUUCUUUCCUCCUCUCUCCUCUUUCUCCCUUUCCUGAGACCACCUUUUUUUAGAUCUCUUUGUCUAUUUUAAGUCGCAAGAUUUUAAAAAAAUUAAAUCACAAACCAAUCAAGUUUUUUAAUCUUAAAAAAAUUAUUUUCAAGAAAUAUUCUUAAAAAAAUAUUUUAAGAAAUGAAACUUUUUAAAUAAGAUACCAAACAAACCCACAUUUUUCGCUUUCUUCUAUUUUUAACUUGGUAGAGAUUAAGCCACUUCUUUUGACUAUUGAACGAGGAGGAUCCCGUUCCACGUCUAAAGGAAAUCUAUCCUUUAAUUAUUGUUUUUUUUAUAGGAACCUUCCCCUCUAUUAUUGGACGUUCCACGUUUUUCAUGUUAUAAGAGAGAAAUUUAAACGCUGUAUUGUGUCUGGUGUCUCUCAUCAUAUCAUCCUCCAUUGCACUUGUAAUAUUGUAUUGAAGAGAGAAAUUUAAACACUCUGAUUAGCUGAGCUGAGCUGAGCUGAGCAGGGAAUUGAAGAAAUGGCUGAAGAUGUGCUUACUUUUGCUGCGGAGGGAAUACUGAACAAGGUGCUUUCACUCGCUGCUCAAGAAUUCAGUCUUGCAUGGGGUUUCAAAGCUGAACUCAGAAAGCUUCAAAAGUCAUUCAUCGACAUUGAAAGUUUCUUGGAUGAUGUUGCCAACCAACCACAAGGUAGUAUAUAUUUCUGGAUUCUCUUAUAAUCUCACACACACAUGCUACAAUUUAAUUACCAAUCUCAAGUACUGUUCUACUUUUUCAUUGUCUAACAGAAAAGAGCAAGUCAAUGGAGGAAUGGGUGAAGAACCUCAAAGACGUUGCUCAGGAUGCUGAGGAUGUCUUGGAUGAAUUCCAGUACGAAGUUGAUCGGCGUAAAGUCGAAAUCCAUAACCAUAUCAAGAAAAAGGUUCUUAACUUCUGUUCACUCUCCAAUCCACUUAAAUUUCGUCUUCAAAUGGCGCGUAAAAUACAGAAUAUCAAUGCAUCCUUGGUAAAACUCAAGAGUGAAGCAUCUUUUCUUGGACUAGUUUCCCAGAAUAAAGGUGCAACCCCUCAGGCAUCUAGAUGGGACCGACCAACCGACUCACUCUUUGUCGAAGGUGAAAUAACCGUUGGAAGGGUAGAGGUUGUGUCAGAAAUAGUCACAACCUUGACCGACUCCCAAAGCAACCAAGAAAAUCUUGCGGUUAUGGCCAUCGUGGGAAUGGGAGGCCUCGGUAAGACAACAUUGGCCAAGUCAGUUU